rnacentral:rRNA from 1 species
GUGCGGAAACUCUGCAAUGUCCGUCAGGAUGACAGGGGGAUUCCGAGUGCUAAUACAAUGUAUUGGCUUUUGCCAAGUCUAAAACGCUUGGCGAAUAAGAGGUGGGCAAGACCGGUGGCAGCAGCCGCGGUAAUACCGGCGCCUCGAGUGGUGUUCGCUUUUAUUGGGCCUAAAGCGUUCGUAGCCGGCUCUAUAAGUUUCUGGUGAAAUCCUUGCGUGUAACGUAAGGGCGUGCCAGGGGUACUGUAAAGCUAGGGACUGGGAGAAGACAGAGGUAUUCCUCGGGUAAGGGUAAAAUCUUAUAAUCCGAGGAGGACCACCUGUGGCGUAGGCGUCUGUCUAGAACAGGUCCGACGGUGAGGGACGAAAGCUGAGGGAUCAAACGGG